rnacentral:lncRNA from 1 species
UGUUGAUGAAACUAAUAUCGAAAGUAAAUUGAGUGUGCUCACAACGUAUUGAAUACAUUUUCAUCAUGUGUAAUUAUGCUUCCUACGGGUCUUGGUCGAUGCAUAAUAGUGAAACUUCCUCGUGCCUGUAAUAUAUAAGACGAAGUAGUCUGGUAGCAACUAAAAUGCAGGCUUUGUUGAAUCAUUUCGUGAAUGCAGUGAUCCACCUGCAAUGGCUAUUCAGGUAUCGAUUGAUCUGUUGCUUAACUAUGGUGGAACCCUGUGGCAGGCAUUGGACACUAGGUACUCGUUGUGGUCUAGGUUCGAACUCGAGCGUAGACACACAGGUCGUGUUGUGCUGAGAGCCACGCGUGUGAUCGAGUGCCUAACGGUAAUACCGGACUGAAAGCCCGAAACGAAGGCCUGUUAGAGAAGACCCAAAUCUUUGCUAGCAGUCUUCAAAGCAAGACUAAAAGGCAGCUUUGAACACUUGUCAAAUGGUAGGAUACACGAGAGUCAGCUUGGAAAAUUGCACUUCAGACCAACAUACGCGGAUAAAAGGCACAGCCUUCUGCUCCACGUACCGGUCUACCAGAGAAAGAAGCGACGCCAGCAAGUCUGUUUACUGUCCAUGAUAAUAGGAGAGAUUGAGUUAGGCGACAGUUAAGUUGGGCAAUAGCCCGCUUUGCCUUGUUGUGCACUAUAAAGGCAUUAAUACAAACGAACGCGAUAUCGUACUUAUGACACGUAUCUCGUAGAGUAUUUACCGAAUGAUUAGCAGAGGAAAACCCAUGGUAUAAAAUAUAAGCAAAUAAAAUUUGCUUGCCAUACGGAUGCACUUAAAGUUUAAAGGUUAGCUGUUUGUCAUAUCAGGCUAUUUAUGUCGUAAGAGGUAAUUAACAAUGUUAGAGUUACUUAUCUUGAAGUAUGUUUGGAUAUGCUUAAUGAGUCGUUCAUCUCAACCGUAGAGGGAUUCCCUAGGAAAAAGUCAAAACCUUGUUAAGCAGAUCCAGACCAUCGAGAGCUAGUGAUAUAGGGAGCUUAAAUUUAGUCCUUGUUAUGCUCCUCGUUUGAUGAGUGUUCCAGCUGCUUAAUAAAGAACAUGUAUAAUUACGGGUGCAAAAACAAAGAGUGCAAAUCUAAAUAAAUAGAAUCUUUUUUACGAUUUAUAUACUAAGGUCAAAAGAUUUUUGGAAUUCGGUAAAAUGAAAAGAUACCCUAGACAAUUUGUAAAAUGAUUGUCGAGUUCCUUGCUCCUAUUAAUAACCCCUGAAAAAUACAUUGAAUUGUCUUUCUAAGGAAAGGUAUUACAGAAAAACCUGGACUAACACUGAAAAAUGUCUGUCUUGUGUACAGAAGUAACGAAUGGAGCAGAUGUUCCGAUGUCAUAUGGAGGCUUCUGGGAACCGCGAUCUUUGUAACGAAAUCAUGUUUGAUUUGAAUAGGGCGACGUAACUUGGGGAAUAUAUAUAUAUGCUUAGUUUUAGACGCAAACAUCCCAUGUUAGUUGUAUGAAAUGCGUAUCUGUGUAGGGAAUGUAAUCCAAUGUUGCUGUCUUCGUCGUUGUCGUUCCUUAGUCUUCUUCGACCGCCCAAAAGAAAAAGGGGCAUGAGAGAGGUAGAUGCUCAUUCUACGACAAUCGCUUUAAAAUAGUUUGCAACGA